rnacentral:lncRNA from 1 species
CCAACAAGAAGAUCAAGGAAUUAGAGCGCCGUUAAGUUAUCUAGAUUAGACCUUGAGGCAAUGCAUCUUAGUCAUUUAUCUUUAAAUUCGGUUUAGGUUUACUAUUAUCAUCAGUUUACUAUUAUUAUCAGUUUGCUAUCAGUUUGUUAUCAGUCUUUUGUACUAAAUGCCUCAAGAUCAAUAAAGAGUAUUACUAUUAUUAUUAUGUCUUGUGUGUCUCUACUUUAUUUUUGUGCAAGAAAGCAGAAAACAAGUAUGGGGGAGAUCCCUCGACAUGCCAACCACACUCCGACUACACCACUCCACCACUCAGGUACACACUCUGCACACUUUACUUUACACAUAUAUUUAUUUUGGAUUAUGCAGAUUACUGUUUCCGACAUGAUAAAAUAAAAAGAUUAAAAUAUUUCUAAUCAUGAUUAAUCUCAAUCUGUGAUAUUUCCUGAAAACUUGCAAUUAGUAUAAAAAUCAUUUUAAAAAAAACCUGUGUUACUUAAGUCAAUAUGGAAUAUGUGAUGGUAGAGUAUGAGUUUCUUAUUCUUGAUAUCAUGGUUGCUUGGAGAAUUUAUUUCAAAAUAUUCAAAUUUCUAGCUACCAUCCUCAGUGUUUUAUAUGCCUGAUAAAAAUAAAAAUAUUAAUGAUGAUUAUAAAGCUAUCUACUCCGUGUUGAGUUUGUUCAAAAUGAGUUAGACCCUUGUUGAGAGAUUUAUCAUGCUCCCAAGAUCAAGACAUUAUUUCAGUAAGAUUCACUCUUCCGAAGUAUUAUUGCAUUAGAGGCAUGGUCUAUGCAAAAAUAGAGAUAUUUCGAGGAAAUAAAAAGGAGCAAGUGCUCGACAACCUCGCAGAAAAAAAUGGACAAGUGUCCGGCAGUAGAAUUAGGGGUACCUCGGUAUCCACUUAAAAAAAAAGAGAGAAAAAAAAAUGAUAGCCCAUGGUCCCUCUAAUAAGCAAUAUGCCAGCAAGAGUUGACAGUUUUUAAUUUCUAAAGUCUUUGAUCUAAGAGUAUGACAUUCCCCUCCUCGGAUCCCGUUUUGAUCAGGCAAUAAAUGCAAAGUAAGAAUGCUUGAGAAUUUUUGCAAAUUAAAACAGCCUCAGUGAGAUAUAUAAAAGAUAAUGAGUGAUCUGAGAGAACCUAUGAGGAUCAAAAGGUAUGCUAACUUUCUUUUAAAAAUAUACAAAAACUCCAAGUGACAGGAUUGAGAAGAAAGGAUCUUUACUCUUAAUCAUAUACUUCCCUGACUAAGAUACACAGUGGAAUUUUAACACCCUGCAAUUAUAAAGAGAAUGUUUUAAAUGUUUAUCCCAGAUAUUAUUCUUAACCAUCCUUUUCUCGAGGACGAGUAAAAGCCUAAGUAUGGGGGUAUUUGUUGACGGUUCUUAAGUAUCAAUUUUAAUUAUCAAAUAAACAAGAGAAAGGACCAAUAUGCAACCAUCACCUAGAAUUAGGGUUUGAUCUGACAGAAUUCCACGAGUUUUGUUGUUUAUCUAUUUCUGCAGGGGGUUAUCAGGAAAUAAGGAAGAAAGGCCCACAUGUCAGGAUUACAUAGAGAUAUCAACGCACCGCGCAAUUUUACAUCAUCUAGAAGACUCCAGAAGCCACGAGACCGAAGCGGAGGCGAAGCUGGGCCAGGCCCAGGGCGCCCGCCCUGGAAGCCUGGGCGCCCGCCCCCCUGCUGGAGCCAAUUCAGGACUCCUUCGCUCGGGAUAUUCCACCGACC